rnacentral:lncRNA from 1 species
CGGCAGAAGAUAAACUGGAGCCAGGUCCUGAAUUCCCCACCCUCUGGCAUUUCAUGACCCAAGAAUCUAUUACCCAAGCCAAAUGAAUAAGGACCAUCCUUGGCCUUGAAAACAAAAACUUCCCUCGUAGUCUUAUUUUAAUCUUUUUUUGAAAGAUUAGGGGAAGAAAAUAAGAGAUAGAAAUGAGAUAGAGAAUAUGUGUGUGGGAGAAGUCUGGCACCUCAGAGAGGGGUCCUGGAAGGUCUCUCUGAGGAGGUGACAUUUGAGAUGUGACCAGAAUAUGCAAAGAACCUGGAAAGAAGCUCUCUAAGUUGAAGAAAGUGAUUACAAAAGAGACACCUUGGGGGUCAGAGGAAAAGAAAGACUGUGCCUGGCUGGAACCCAGUGGACAGGAGAAGAGGUAGGAGCUGAGCUCAAGAAAUGAGCAACACCACUGCAGAUAAAAUCAUUAGGCAGAAUCUGGAGAGGUUCAAGUGAUACUUGCUUCAAAGAAGGCCUUUCCUGAGGACAGGGUAGGACAUCUUUAAUGAUCUGGAAGCCAGUAUUGCUCAGCACUUAAGCAUAUGGAGAAGUGUUGGAUUGGACCAAAAGAGGAAGGAUUCAGACUGCCCAAAAAGAGGUGAAAUAGUCUGCCCAGGAAGAAGCAGCACAUUUUGAUCUUUUUCUUGCCUGCUGAUGAAGGGCCACAAGCAACCCUGAUGGUGGGGCGGAUGCUGGCACAACUUGUCAGAGGCUGGCAGCUGGUGUGCAGACCAAAGCCUAGUGAACCUGGGGCCUAAAUGUCAACGUGUGGCUAUCAGGACAGGAAUAAAGGCAUUGAUGUAACACUGGUUUUUGUUUUGUGUGUGUGUUUUUCUGAAGGGCAAGGUGGAUAUACUAAAAAAUGAAUUUUAAAAACAUUAAGCCCUAAUCCCACCUUCAGAACAAGUGGCUUUUCAAAAUAACUAAAAGGGUAGAACUGGAAUGUUUCUAACACAAAGAAAUGAUAAAUGCUUGAGGCGAUAGACAUCCCAAAUACCCUGAUUUGAUCAUGACAAUAUUGUAUGUUUGUAUCAAUAUUUCACAUGUACUCCAUAAAUAUAUGCAACUAUUAUGUAUCCAUAAUAAUUAAAGAUAAAUCAAUAUUUUAAAGUUCCUCAUUUGUUUUAGAUCCUUCGUUUAAAAAAACUGAGAAAAAAGGAGUUGCUUUUUUUCCCUCCUGGCUAGUGUAAAAACUAACACACAUUUACCUUUCAAUUAAAAUCUCAAGACCCUUUGCAUGUGGUACAUGCACCAAAUGCAUACAUUAGAACUGAAUUAUGGAAAAACACAAGAGAAUGACAUUGAUUUAUGCACUUCCAUUAGAUAGAGUGUUAGUUAACAAUUCAAAACAAACAGAUACCUUAAGUCUGUCAAGAAAAGAGCAUUUUAGUUGAAGAGCAAAG